rnacentral:rRNA from 1 species
AUUGAACGCUGGCGGCAUGCCUUACACAUGCAAGUCGAACGGUAACAGGUCUUUCGGGAUGCUGACGAGUGGCGAACGGGUGAGUAAUACAUCGGAACGUGCCUAGUAGUGGGGGAUAACUACUCGAAAGAGUGGCUAAUACCGCAUGAAAUCUAUGGAUGAAAGCAGGGGACCUUCGGGCCUUGUGCUACUAGAGCGGCCGAUGGCAGAUUAGGUAGGUGGUGGGAUAAAAGCUUACCAAGCCUACGAUCUGUAGCUGGUCUGAGAGGACGAUCAGCCAACCUGGGACUGAGACACGGCCCAGACUCCUACGGGAGGCAGCAGUGGGGAAUUUUGGACAAUGGGCGCAAGCCUGAUCCAGCAAUGCCGCGUGCAGGAUGAAGGCCUUCGGGUUGUAAACUGCUUUUGUACGGAACGAAAAGUCUUGGGUUAAUACCCUGGGAUCAUGACGGUACCGUAAGAAUAAGCACCGGCUAACUACGUGCCAGCCGCCGCGGUAAAAC